GCUCAGGAUGAACGCUGGCGGCGUGCUUAACACAUGCAAGUCGAACGAAGAUACUUAAAAAGAGAGCUUCGGCAGGAUUUUUAUUUAUCUUAGUGGCGGACGGGUGAGUAACGUGUGGGCAACCUGCCCUAUACUGGGGAAUAAUCACUGGAAACGGUGACUAAUACCGCAUGUCAUCACGAGAAGGCAUCUUUUUGUGAGAAAAGGAGUAAUUCGGUAUAGGAUGGGCCCGCAUCUGAUUAGCUAGUUGGUGAGAUAACAGCCCACCAAGGCGACGAUCAGUAGCCGACCUGAGAGGGUGAUCGGCCACAUUGGGACUGAGACACGGCCCAAACUCCUACGGGAGGCAGCAGUA
rnacentral:rRNA from 1 species